UACGGAGGGUGCGAGCGUUAAUCGGAAUUACUGGGCGUAAAGCGUGCGUAGGCGGCCCGCUAAGUCAGAUGUGAAAGCCCCGGGCUUAACCUGGGAACGGCAUUUGAAACUGGCGGGCUAGAGUCUGAGAGAGGGGAGUGGAAUUCCGGGUGUAGCGGUGAAAUGCGUAGAGAUCCGGAGGAACACCAGUGGCGAAGGCGACUCCCUGGCUUAAGACUGACGCUGAGGUACGAAAGCGUGGGUAGCAAACAGG
rnacentral:rRNA from 1 species